rnacentral:rRNA from 1 species
GUCGAACGGUAACAGGUCUUCGGACGCUGACGAGUGGCGAACGGGUGAGUAAUACAUCGGAACGUGCCCAGUCGUGGGGGAUAACUACUCGAAAGAGUAGCUAAUACCGCAUACGAUCUGAGGAUGAAAGCGGGGGACCUUCGGGCCUCGCGCGAUUGGAGCGGCCGAUGGCAGAUUAGGUAGUUGGUGGGAUAAAAGCUUACCAAGCCGACGAUCUGUAGCUGGUCUGAGAGGACGACCAGCCACACUGGGACUGAGACACGGCCCAGACUCCUACGGGAGGCAGCAGUGGGGAAUUUUGGACAAUGGGCGAAAGCCUGAUCCAGCAAUGCCGCGUGCAGGAUGAAGGCCUUCGGGUUGUAAACUGCUUUUGUACGGAACGAAAAAGCUCCUUCUAAUACAGGGGGCCCAUGACGGUACCGUAAGAAUAAGCACCGGCUAACUACGUGCCAGCAGCCGCGGUAAUACGUAGGGUGCGAGCGUUAAUCGGAAUUACUGGGCGUAAAGCGUGCGCAGGCGGUUAUGUAAGACAGAUGUGAAAUCCCCGGGCUCAACCUGGGAACUGCAUUUGUGACUGCAUGGCUAGAGUACGGUAGAGGGGGAUGGAAUUCCGCGUGUAGCAGUGAAAUGCGUAUAUAUGCGGAGGAACACCCGAUGGCGAAGGCAAUCCCCUGGACCUGUACUGACGCUCAUGCACGAAAAGCGUGGGGAGCAAACAGGAUUAU